rnacentral:lncRNA from 1 species
AUGGCCGGAGUGCCGCACUGCCAGCAUCCCCUGCUUAUAAACCCUGCCUCCCCCACGGAAACCCGGGGCGGUGGUGCUGGGGGGGCCUCCCUCUGCCCUCCGCUUCCCUUCUGCCUAACGUCGUUGCAUGUUUACUUUUCUGCCCAGCGCUGGGCUGCGAGGAGGAGGUCUGCCCUGUCUCAACCCCUCUGCCAAUAUGGGUGUCUUCAGAGCUGGGACAACACCCGGAAGGCUUUGGGGUCCACUGGUCACCUCAUAUCUCUGCGGAUGAUAGCAGGGACCCCUCACUCGGGCACCACUGUUCCACCAGCCCCGCUUCUCACCCCACAUCCCCCCAUGGCUCUGAGCCCCACUCACCUCUCAUCGCCCCGAACCGCUCGGAUGAGAGCAGGGGGCCUCACUGCCCCGAUUCCUGCAGCCGUCCCUUCACGUCUCCUCCCGCUGUGCUGCCGAGCAUGGCCGGAACACCCUGCUGCCCUUCCUCGUCCUGGCGAAAAGCCUUUGGGAUCCUUCAGAAGCAACUCCGUUGGCUGGGGGGCACCCCCAGGGCCAGUCGCUCUCCCAUGGCCUCUGCGGGAUGGGGUGCGGGGAGCGCAGCCGCGCUUGGCCGCCGUCCACCCAAGCGUGAGGCGCCGGGAUAUGUGCUGGAGAAGAAAGGCUGCUCCCGCGCCUGCCUCCUUCCCUCCGGCCCUAAUGACUACCAAAUGUCCCACAGAACACCACUGUGCCGGCCAAGGGGAGGGAUGGGGUGGGGAGGAGGUUGGGGAGCGUUGGGGAGGUGGAUGGGGAUGCGCUCCGGGGGCUGUGCCCAGUGAUACUGGGGGGUUUCAGGUCUGGGAAUGGGGUCUUGGUGCGUGGGGAUGGGGUCCUGGUCUGGGGAUGGGGUCUUUGACAUGGCCAUGGGGAGAUGGGGUUUGGGGUUUAGGGUGUGGGAUUUGUCAUAUCCUUUACAAGGUUCUGGUCUGGGGAUGGGAUUCUGGUGCAUGGCGUUGGGGUGAAGUGUUUGGAAUUGGGGCCUGGUCAAGGACACAGGGAGAUGACGUUUGGGGUCUGGGGUGCUGGGCAUGGCACUCACAUUUGGGUCAGGGACACGAGUUGUUAUGCUCUGGGUUCUGGGGUCCUGCUUUGGGCCCAUGGUUCUGGCUGGGGCUGUGGGUGCUGUGGUUUGGUGCGAUGGUCCUGGCUCGGAGACUUGGGGUGGGGGACCCACAUGGGUUGGGUACGUUUGGGGUGCCUCAUCCCCGAGGUGCUGGGGACCACUGA